AUUGAACGCUGGCGGCAGGCUUAACACAUGCAAGUCGAGCGGGGAAAAGUAGCUUGCUACUUAACCUAGCGGCGGACGGGUGAGUAAUGCUUAGGAAUCUGCCUAUUAGUGGGGGACAACAUCUCGAAAGGGAUGCUAAUACCGCAUACGUCCUACGGGAGAAAGCAGGGGACCUUCGGGCCUUGCGCUAAUAGAUGAGCCUAAGUCGGAUUAGCUAGUUGGUGGGGUAAAGGCCUACCAAGGCGACGAUCUGUAGCGGGUCUGAGAGGAUGAUCCGCCACACUGGGACUGAGACACGGCCCAGACUCCUACGGGAGGCAGCAGUGGGGAAUAUUGGACAAUGGGGGGAACCCUGAUCCAGCCAUGCCGCGUGUGUGAAGAAGGCCUUUUGGUUGUAAAGCACUUUAAGCGAGGAGGAGGCUACCGAGAUUAAUACUCUUGGAUAGUGGACGUUACUCGCAGAAUAAGCACCGGCUAACUCUGUGCCAGCGGCCGCCGUAAUAC
rnacentral:rRNA from 1 species